GAGACGAGUCAGAAACCGUUGAUGUAGGCGAAGGACAUGCGAAAGGUCCGGCGUAGAGGGUAAGACCCCCGUAGUCGAAACGUCAGCGGCUCGUUUGAGAGACACCCAAGUAGCACGGGGCCCGAGAAAUCCCGUGUGAAUCUGGCGGGACCACCCGCUAAGCCUAGAUAUUCCCUGGUGACCGAUAGCGGAUAGUACCGUGAGGAAAUGGUGAAAAGUACCGCGGGAGCGGAGUGAAAUAGUACCUGAAACCGUGUGCCUACAAGCCGUGGGA
rnacentral:ncRNA from 1 species